rnacentral:SRP_RNA from 1 species
GGUGGUGGGGCCCCGGGGAACUUGGCCUCCCCUGUAUCCGCAAACGGUCAAUAUGGCGGGGGCUCACCCUAGGGGGCGGUGCCUUCCUCCAGUAGUGUUCCGCAUAGGGUACCCAAUGAUCCUCGGCCCUACGGGGCCGCCCGUAGACUACACCCCUCUCUGUAGGGAGAGGGGUGUAGUCGCGCACCCGAACCGGGUUAGGCCCGGGAGAGCGGCUUAGCCGCCUCGACGGAGCAGCCCUAAGGGUGGCGGGCGGCGUUCGUAGGUACCCGGGGUGAGGGGAACUAUGCGGAACACUACUGGAUAGGCACCCACCCCUGGGGGUCCACCACC